rnacentral:rRNA from 1 species
UAAGGAAUAUUGGACAAUGCCCGCAAGGGUGAUCCAGCCAUGCCGCGUGCAGGAUGAAGGCCUUCGGGUUGUAAACUGCUUUUGUACGGAACGAAAAGACUCCUUCUAAUAAAGGGGGUCCAUGACGGUACCGUAAGAAUAAGCACCGGCUAACUACGUGCCAGCAGCCGCGGUAAUACGUAGGGUGCGAGUGUUAAUCGGAAUUACUGGGCGUAAAGCGUGCGCAGGCGGUUAUAUAAGACAGAUGUGAAAUCCCCGGGCUCAACCUGGGACCUGCAUUUGUGACUGUAUAGCUAGAGUACGGUAGAGGGGGAUGGAAUUCCGCGUGUAGCAGUGAAAUGCGUAGAUAUGCGGAGGAACACCGAUGGCGAAGGCAAUCCCCUGGACCUGUACUGACGCUCAUGCACGAAAGCGUGGGGAGCAAACA